CGUAGGCGGUUUGGUAAGUUAGAUGUGAAAUCUCAAGGCUUAACCUUGAAACUGCAUUUAAUACUGCUGGACUAGAGUACGAAAGAGGGAGAUGGAAUUCUCGGUGUAAGAGUGAAAUCUGCAGAUAUCGAGAGGAACACCUGUAGCGAAGGCGAUCUCCUAGGUCGAUACUGACGCUGAAGUGCGAAAGCGUAGGGGAGCGAACG
rnacentral:rRNA from 1 species